GCCUUCGUGGCUCAGCUGGUUAGAGCGCCGGUCUCAUAUGUAGCUACAUAGUAAUGUGAUCAUCCCGAGGGGUGAGUCAUCCGGAGAUCGCCAGUUCGAUCCUGGCCGAGGGCA
rnacentral:tRNA from 1 species